GGCCGGGUGGUCUAGUGGUCAGGACGUUAGCCGCGAAAGCUGAAGGCGGGUUCGAUUCCCGCCACGGCCA